rnacentral:rRNA from 1 species
CCUACGGGGGGCACCAGGGGGGAAUAUUGCACAAUGGGCGCAAGCCUGAUGCAGCCAUGCCGCGUGUAUGAAGAAGGCCCUAGGGUCGUAAAGUACUUUCAGUCGGGAGGAAGGCGUUGAUGCUAAUAUCAUCAACGAUUGACGUUACCGACAGAAGAAGCACCGGCUAACUCCGUGCCAGCAGCCGCGGUAAUACGGAGGGUGCAAGCGUUAAUCGGAAUUACCGGGCGUAAAGCGCACGCAGGCGGUUGAUUAAGUUAGAUGUGAAAUCCCCGGGCUAAACCUGGGAAUGGCAUCUAAGACUGGUCAGCUAGAGUCUUGUAGAGGGGGGUAGAAUUCCAUGUGUAGCGGUGAAAUGCGUAGAGAUGUGGAGGAAUACCGGUGGCGAAGGCGGCCCCCUGGACAAAGACUGACGCUCAGGUGCGAAAGCGUGGGGAGCAAACAGGAUUAGAUACCCCCGUAGUC